AGGACGAACGCUGGCGGCGUGCUUAACACAUGCAAGUCGAGCGGAAAGGCCCUUCGGGGUACUCGAGCGGCGAACGGGUGAGUAACACGUGAGUAAUCUGCCCAUCGCUUCAGGAUAGCCAUCGGAAACGGUGAUUAAUACUGGAUAUGACAUUCCUUCGCAUGUUGGGGUGUGGAAAGUUUUUUCGGCGGUGGAUGUGCUCGCGGCCUAUCAGCUUGUUGGUGGGGUAAUGGCCUACCAAGGCUUUGACGGGUAGCCGGCCUGAGAGGGUGACCGGCCACACUGGGACUGAGACACGGCCCAGACUCCUACGGGAGCAGCAGGUGGGGAAUAGUUGGACAAGUGGGCGGAAGCCUGAU
rnacentral:rRNA from 1 species